CAGAAAAGAUGUAACCGUGCCUGCUUUGCUUAUGACAGCAUUUGCGGGUGAGGAAAGUCCGGGCUCCACCGAAAAAAACGCCGGAUAACGACCGGGCAGAAAAAGGAACUUGUUCUUGUGGGCAUAAGCCUUUUUUCUGACAGAAAGUGCCACAGAAAAUAAACCGCCUGCUUUCGUGGGUAAGGGUGAAAAGGUGCGGUAAGGGCGCACCGCAGUUUUGGUAACAAGGCUGGCAGGGAAAACCUCGUUUGGAGCAAGGUCAAGCAGUAGAUAUGCGUUUUCGGGCUGUGUCUACGGGUAGACCGCUAAAGGCUUCUGGUAACAGGAGCUUCGGAUAGAUGGUUAUAAGUCCCUCUUUGCGAGGGGCUGACAGAACCCGGCUUAUUGUCUUUUCUGUUUU
rnacentral:RNase_P_RNA from 1 species